rnacentral:tRNA from 1 species
GGUGUAGUUCAGUGGUAGAACACAUGCUUAGCAUGCAUUUGACCCUGGAUUCCAUCUCCAGCACC